ACGAACGGGCCGGAAGAGGCAUUCUCCGGGAACCUGUUGUCUCGUGAAGAGCGGCGCAAGCCCACAGGAGGGCCGGCCGUGUUUCUCCCCUGGCCCGGCUAACUCCGCGCCGUCUACCGUGGGCGCGUUGCCGCGUUCCGGUGCCGAUCGAACCGCACAGCCGCGUUCCGGCGCCAUUUAUUUACUCGCGUCGCCUUCCACGGCUCCACCCCUCCACUACCGCCGCCACCUCGUCACAGCCGCCAACGGUUCCAUCUCCCCGAUCCUGAUCCUCAUCCGCGUCUUCCAUCGUCCGCCUGCACGCAUCGUCCUCAUGGGUACUCGCAAGUAUCGAGCGGCCGCACUCCCCUGGCUUGACCCCAACGCCGUCCCGUCAGGCUCCUCACCUCGCUCAUAUCCGUGCCGUCGAUCUGGGAGGUGAGGCGUCGAGGCACUCAGUUCAGAAGGGAAUGGCUUCGAUUCGGGCAAGGGGGCUUGAUUUCGACGAUGAGGAGUUUGAUUCGCGCCGCGAUGCUUUUGAUCCGGGAGAGGAUGGUAGCAGUUCGGGUGUGGGGGAUCGAUUUCGAUGACGAAGAGUUUGGUCUGUGACACGAGUUGAUCGAUCGAAUGGGGAGGCAUCGAUUCGGUGGGGGGAUCCAUCCGUGCCUGUACCUUGAUCCUAGAUGCCGCCGGACCCCAUCAAGUCGGAAGAGGUGAAAACGGGAUCCCCUGUCUCUUAACAUUCCUCCAGUAGUUCUCCCUAUUGAUCGAUUUCAGCAAAAGAUUGCAUUUUUUUCCUUCUUCUUUUCUUGCCGCCACUAGCAAAGCAAAUCCGAUUUUGUUCUGUUGGUCUGAUCUGCACACUAGCCAUGGCCGCCCCGCCCUACAAAGCUCCGCUCAUCGCCACCAACAACAUCCAGAAAAUGCAGGUUGCUGCUCAAAAAGAGGUAGAUUGAGGUUGAUCAUGGAGAGUUUUCAGUGAUAAAAUGAAAGGAUAACGGAAAAGCAGGCUGUGUACAAAGAUUAACAGACUAGAAUGAACCGCGCCGCCGAAGUUGAAGCUCAACGCUGCUCCAGUAAAAUGCGUUUUUCUGGACAAAACCUGGAACACGGCCACCAUUCCCUCCAAAACAUCCGACUCCAGAUCGAGCACGAAAGCCCAACUUCGGUUCCUUCUGCAAGCCCAAAUUUCGUUUCUUCUGAGAAUGGGCUUUCCAGGACAAAACCAGGAAGCCGGCCACCAUUCUUUUGCAGGGUUCUCCAUGUGCUCCGGAGGAAACGGGAAUUCCUCUAAAAUACAGGAACUUUUUAUCAUUAACCUUUGGAACCUUUGAAACCUAUUUGACUAAUUACAGGAACUUUUUCAGGGUUCUAACAAAUCAAAACCUAUUUGACUAAUUAUAGGAACUUCUAUCAAUUUACCUUUGGAACUUUUUUGAGUAACCUUUGGAACUUGUUCAACUAAUCUGGGAACUUUUUGUCACUAACCCGUGGAACUUAAAUAACAGGAACUUGUAUCACUAACCUUUAGAACUUAUCUAAAUAUGUGAUUAACCUUUGGAACUUGUUCAACUAAUUAGGAAACUUUUUCGUGGAACUUAUUCGAAUUGUUGUGAUCGUGGGAAUUGGAAUCACACCACAGUAAAAUGAGUACAUGGUGUAACUGAAUUUUCUCUUAACAUUACACAAAAGGUGCUUGGUGUUUAUAGCCAUACCUCAACCACCCAGAUCUACAUUACAUGGGUACGCAUAUUCUCGGAAUAUCCUUAAGGUGUUACAAUCAUUGUACCAACACAGUAAUGCUAGCACAUUUGAAUUUUGCAUCAGCUGAACCUUUGGGUCUUGUUGGCUCCUUCAACGGUCUUCGACUUCCUGAAGGUCUAGCCUUCGGGGUCCACUCGUUGGUCGCCCUUCAAAUCCAUACCUGCAACAAAAGUAGCCUAACAAAAGUGCUAGCAUUAUUUUCCUAUCUUCAGGGUUGCCUGAGGCCAGCCGAAGCCAAGGAGGUCAAUGUGGUACCAUCCCCAGACACAAA